rnacentral:rRNA from 1 species
AUUGAACGCUGGCGGCAGGCCUAACACAUGCAAGUCGAAUGGUAACAGGAAACAGCUUGCUGUUUCGCUGACGAGUGGCGGACGGGUGAGUAAUGUCUGGGAAACUGCCUGAUGGAGGGGGAUAACUACUGGAAACGGUAGCUAAUACCGCAUAACGUCGCAAGACCAAAGAGGGGGACCUUCGGGCCUCUUGCCAUCAGAUGUGCCCAGAUGGGAUUAGCUAGUAGGUGGGGUAACGGCUCACCUAGGCGACGAUCCCUAGCUGGUCUGAGAGGAUGACCAGCCACACUGGAACUGAGACACGGUCCAGACUCCUACGGGAGGCAGCAGUGGGGAAUAUUGCACAAUGGGCGCAAGCCUGAUGCAGCCAUGCCGCGUGUAUGAAGAAGGCCUUCGGGUUGUAAAGUACUUUCAGCGGGGAGGAAGGGAGUAAAGUUAAUACCUUUGCUCAUUGACGUUACCCGCAGAAGAAGCACCGGCGAACUCCGU